CGGAACGUAGCGCAGCCUGGUAGCGCACCUGCCUUGGGAGCAGGGGGUCGCUGGUUCGAAUCCAGUCGUUCCGACCA
rnacentral:tRNA from 9 species